rnacentral:tRNA from 1 species
GGAAAGAUGGUCGAGCUGGUUUAAGGCACCGGUCUUGAAAACCGGCGUAGGUUUGCGCCUACCGUGGGUUCGAAUCCCACUCUUUCCGCCA